GCCGACUUAGCUCAGUAGGUAGAGCAACUGACUUGUAAUCAGUAGGUCACCAGUUCGAUUCCGGUAGUC
rnacentral:tRNA from 3 species